rnacentral:rRNA from 1 species
AGAGUUUGAUCCUGGCUCAGGAUGAACGCUAGCUACAGGCUUAACACAUGCAAGUCGAGGGGAAACGAUAGAGAAAGCUUGCUUUUUCUAGGCGUCGACCGGCGCACGGGUGAGUAACGCGUAUCCAACCUGCCCACCACUUGGGGAUAACCUUGCGAAAGUAAGACUAAUACCCAAUGAUAUCUCUAGAAGACAUCUGAAGGAGAUUAAAGAUUUAUCGGUGAUGGAUGGGGAUGCGUCUGAUUAGCUUGUUGGCGGGGUAACGGCCCACCAAGGCGACGAUCAGUAGGGGUUCUGAGAGGAAGGUCCCCCACAUUGGAACUGAGACACGGUCCAAACUCCUACGGGAGGCAGCAGUGAGGAAUAUUGGUCAAUGGGCGAGAGCCUGAACCAGCCAAGUAGCGUGCAGGAUGACGGCCCUAUGGGUUGUAAACUGCUUUUAUAAGGGAAUAAAGUGGGAGUCGUGACUCUUUUUGCAUGUACCUUAUGAAUAAGGACCGGCUAAUUCCGUGCCAGCAGCCGCGGUAAUACGGAAGGUCCGGGCGUUAUCCGGAUUUAUUGGGUUUAAAGGGAGCGUAGGCCGGAGAUUAAGCGUGUUGUGAAAUGUAGAUGCUCAACAUCUGCACUGCAGCGCGAACUGGUUUCCUUGAGUACGCACAAAGUGGGCGGAAUUCGUGGUGUAGCGGUGAAAUGCUUAGAUAUCACGAAGAACUCCGAUUGCGAAGGCAGCUCACUGGAGCGCAACUGACGCUGAAGCUCGAAAGUGCGGGUAUCGAACAGGAUUAGAUACCCUGGUAGUCCGCACGGUAAACGAUGGAUGCCCGCUGUUGGUCUGAAUAGGUCAGCGGCCAAGCGAAAGCAUUAAGCAUCCCACCUGGGGAGUACGCCGGCAACGGU